UUAUGCAAGACAUGCUAAUGAAUAUGUAAAUGCAAUGACAUGUUUAUCAAUUCCAAAGGUAUUCUACCCCCUUGAUUCCAGUAUCUCAAUAGAUAAACGAUGUAAAAAAAAGACUAAGCCGUUGAUGAGAACCAAGAAAAUUCCGACAAGAAUCAAGUAGAAGAUAUAAACCCCACAGAAAUGGAUAAACAUGUGUGAAUGAUUAUGAAUGCAAAAUGAUGUGAAUGCAGUGCAGUGGCAUGGGAAUCAGGAUCGCUGUAUCUGCUUGAACAUCUGUCAGGUUGCACUGUCUGGAGAGAAAUUAAGAGCACAC
rnacentral:lncRNA from 1 species